GAUGAACGCUGGCGGCGUGCCUAAUACAUGCAAGUCGAGCGAACAGACGAGGAGAUUGCUCCUCUGACGUUAGCGGCGGACGGGUGAGUAACACGUGGAUAACCUACCUAUAAGACUGGGAUAACUUCGGGAAACCGGAGCUAAUACCGGAUAAUAUAUUGAACGGCAUGGUUCAAUAGUGAAAGACGGUUUUGCUGUCACUUAUAGAUGGAUCCGCGCCGCAUUAGCUAGUUGGUAAGGUAACGGCCUACCAAGGCAACGAUGCGUAGCCGAGCUGAGAGGAUGAUCGGCCACACUGGAACUGAGACACGGUCCAGACUCCUACGGGAGGCAGCAGUAGGGAAUCUUCCGCAAUGGGCGAAAGCCUGACGGAGCAACGCCGCGUGAGUGAUGAAGGUCUUCGGAUCGUAAAACUCUGUUAUUAGGGAAGAACAAAUGUGUAAGUAACUAUGCACGUCUUGACGGUACCUAAUCAGAAAGCCACGGCUAACUACGUG
rnacentral:rRNA from 1 species